CGAGCGCGAUUCCUCAGACGGAAACUUCGGUCGAAGUCUGUGGUUGAAAGCGGCGUAAGGGUGAGUAACGCGUAGUUACCUGCCCCAGGGUCCGGGAUAGCCACGGGAAACUGUGGGUAAUACCGGAUGAUAUCUCCGGAUCAAAGGUGAGAUUCCGCCCUGGGAGGGGACUGCGUCCUACUAGCUUGUUGGUGGGGUAAUGGCCUACCAAGGCAACGAUGGGUAGCGGGCGUGAGAGCGUGGCCCGUCACACUGGGACUGAGACACUGCCCAGACACCUACGGGUGGCUGCAGUCGAGAAUCUUCGGCAAUGGGCGCAAGCCUGACCGAGCGAUGCCGCGUGCGGGAUUGAAGGCCCUCGGGUUGUAAACCGCGAAAGUAGGGAGGAAGGCCCCGUGAAGAACGGGUUUUGACCGAUCUACAGUAAGGACGGGCUAAGUUCGUGCCAGCAGCCGCGGUAAUACGAACCGUCCAAACGUUAUUCGGAAUUAUUGGGCUUAAAGGGUGCGUAGGCGGCUCAGUAAGUGGGGUGUGAAAUCCCUCGGCUUAACCGAGGAAUUGCGCCCCAUACUGCUGAGCUCGAGGGAGACAGGGGUGAGCGGAACUGAUGGUGGAGCGGUGAAAUG
rnacentral:rRNA from 1 species